rnacentral:hammerhead_ribozyme from 1 species
AAGCGAAACGCCCCCGGUCGGGGGCGUCUGCCGGGCGUGGUGGCCCGGUACUGAUGAGCAGCCACCU